GGGAGCCGGGUGAGGACACGGCCUUUGUUCCUCUUGCCCUUCCACCUUGCAACACGGGACACUCAACGAGAAGUCCAUCACCAGACACCAGAUGCAGGCACGUUCAUCUUGGACUCCCCAGCCUCCAGAACGUGCUUCCUCCACUAAAGCAAAACCGCAAGUCUGAGGCCUGUGGCAGCAGGGAAGAGCUGACCCAAUGAGGAAGCCAGUACAUGUAUUUAAACUCUGGAACUUGGACCUUUGGAGUGAAUUUCUGGCAAUUGAGACAUGGUCUUAAUUGGUCUUGGAGGCAUGGU
rnacentral:lncRNA from 10 species